UACGGAGGGUGCGAGCGUUGUCCGGAAUCAUUGGGCGUAAAGGGCGCGUAGGUGGCCCGGUCAGUCUUUGGUGAAAGCGCGGGGCUCAACCCUGCGUCGGCCAGGGAUACUGCCGCGGCUCGAGCAGCUGUAGAGGCAGGCGGAAUUCCGGGUGUAGCGGUGGAAUGCGCAGAUAUCAGGAGGAACACCGGUGGCGAAGGCGGGUCUCUGGGCCGAUAUUGACGCUGAGGAGCGAAAGCGUGGGGAGCGAACAGG
rnacentral:rRNA from 1 species